UGACAGGUGGUGCAUGGUUGUCGUCAGCUCGUGUCGUGAGAUGUUGGGUUAAGUCCCGCGACGAGCGCAACCCUCGACCUUAGUUGCCAGCAUUCAGUUGGGCACUCUAAGGUGACUGCCGGCUAAAAGUCGGAGGAAGGUGGGGAUGACGUCAAAUCAUCAUGCCCCUUAUGACCUGGGCUACACACGUGCUACAAUGGGCGGUACAAAGGGUCGCGAACCCGCGAGGGGGAGCCAAUCCCAAAAAGCCGCUCUCAGUUCGGAUUGCAGGCUGCAACUCGCCUGCAUGAAGCCGGAAUCGCUAGUAAUCGCGGAUCAGCAUGCCGCGGUGAAUACGUUCCCGGGCCUU
rnacentral:rRNA from 1 species